UUUUGUAGACAUUAUGGCUAUUGUAGUCCACUUGGAUACAAUCCAUCGCACAAUGUGGGGUACAUUCAGGAAGAUUGUUAUAAUGGAUGCUAGGUGGUCUUUACAUACCAUUAAAGUUUGGGGCGAUUUACUAAA